rnacentral:tRNA from 1 species
AGGGGUGUAGCUCAGCUGGUAGAGCAUCGGUCUCCAAAACCGAGGGUCGUGGGUUCGAGUCCCUCCGCCCCUGCCA